CCUGGCGGUGCCCUUGGCGGUUAUCGGAGGCGGCCUGGAUAGGGUUCACCUCGUGUAGAGUGCCGAGGGGUUCCUCCCGGGUUGUCCCCAACUCCAGAUUUUGGUAGGAUUCGGCCUGUAGACAAUGGACUGCGGCACGGUUGCUCGGGGCGGCGUUAUUCCAGCUGGGUCGAGGCCGGUUCCGUGGGCAGUCUCUCUGGAUGUGCCCCUGUUGGUUGCAGGUAUGGCACCGGAUUGGUGGACGUGCUGAAUAUCUGGGGGGGUAGGAAUUCUGGUUUACCCCUGGUCGCUGGUGAGUUGCGGGGCCCCCUGGAGGGCUGGUCGUUGUAGGGGGGAUGGUGGC